UACAGAGGUCUCAAGCGUUGUUCGGAUUCAUUGGGCGUAAAGGGCGCGUAGGCGGCGGGGUAAGUCGGGUGUGAAAUCUCAGAGCUCAACUCUGAAACUGCACUCGAUACUGCUCUGCUUGAGGACUGGAGAGGAGACUGGAAUUCACGGUGUAGCAGUGAAAUGCGUAGAUAUCGUGAGGAAGACCAGUGGCGAAGGCGGGUCUCUGGACAGUUCCUGACGCUGAGGCGCGAAGGCCAGGGGAGCAAAUGGG
rnacentral:rRNA from 1 species